rnacentral:tRNA from 1 species
AGAAUUAUAGUCAAGUAUGAUUUAUGAUUUGCAAUCAUAAGGUGUUCAAAAGAACUGAUUUU